rnacentral:rRNA from 1 species
GAGUUUGAUCGUGGCUCAGAGCGAACGCUGGCGGCGUGCUUAACACAUGCAAGUCGAACGCUCGUAGCAAUACGAGAGUGGCGGACGGGUGAGUAACGCGUGGGAAUCUACCUUACGGCGGGGAAUAACCUCGGGAAACUGAGGCUAAUACCGCAUACGCCCUACGGGGGAAAGGCUUCGGCCACCGUUUGAGGAGCCCGCGUCCGAUUAGCUAGUUGGUGAGGUAACGGCUCACCAAGGCGACGAUCGGUAGCUGGUCUGAGAGGAUGAUCAGCCACACUGGGACUGAGACACGGCCCAGACUCCUACGGGAGGCAGCAGUGGGGAAUAUUGGACAAUGGGGGAAACCCUGAUCCAGCGACGCCGCGUGGGUGAUGAAGGCCUUCGGUUGUAAGCCUUUCGUCCACGAUGAUGAUGACAGUAGUGGAAGAAGAAG